rnacentral:lncRNA from 1 species
GGUUUCCUCCUGCAGGGUGCAUCUGUAGAGGAGAGGCUUGAGAAAAAGGAGGAGCAGGACAAUGGCCUGGAUUUCUGGAGGCCUACUUUAAAGCUGCUCACUUCUGCAAGGAAGGAAAGGAGAAGGAGAGUGGAUCAAAUCUCUGGAGGACAGCCUGCUCUCUGCUAUAGGGCUUAAUACCACUGAAACAAAGCAAGGAGGGAGAAAUCGCAACAUAUCCGUGCAGGUUGGUAUGAGAGUGGGUACAAAUUUGGGUGGGGAAGUGGAGAUCAAUACUCGUCCACGA